rnacentral:rRNA from 1 species
GACAGAGGGUGCAAACGUUGUUCGGAAUUACUGGGCGUAAAGCGUGUGUAGGCGGCUAUGUAAGUCGGAUGUGAAAGCCCCGGGCUCAACUCGGGAAGUGCACUCGAUACUGCGUAGCUAGAGUACCGGAGAGGUUGGUGGAAUUCUCGGUGUAGAGGUGAAAUUCGUAGAUAUCGAGAGGAACAUCGGUGGCGAAGGCGGCCUUCUGGACGGUGACUGACGCUGAGACGCGAAAGCGUGGGGAGCAAACAGG